GACGAACGCUGGCGGCGUGCUUAACACAUGCAAGUCGAACGGAAAGGCCCUGCUUGCAGGGUACUCGAGUGGCGAACGGGUGAGUAACACGUGGGUGAUCUGCCCUGCACUUCGGGAUAAGCUUGGGAAACUGGGUCUAAUACCGGAUAGGAACCAUCUUUAGUGUGGUGGUUGGAAAGUUUUUUCGGUGUAGGAUGAGCUCGCGGCCUAUCAGCUUGUUGGUGGGGUAAUGGCCUACCAAGGCGGCGACGGGUAGCCGGCCUGAGAGGGUGUACGGCCACAUUGGGACUGAGAUACGGCCCAGACUCCUACGGGAGGCAGCAGUGGGGAAUAUUGCACAAUGGGCGCAAGCCUGAGGCAGCGACGCCGCGUGGGGGAUGAAGGCCUUCGGGUUGUAAACUCCUUUCGCUAGGGACGAAGCUUUGUUGUGACGGUACCUAGAGAAGAAGCACCGGCUAACUACGUG
rnacentral:rRNA from 1 species